rnacentral:tRNA from 2 species
GCGGGAGUGGCGGAACGGUAGACGCGUAAGCUUCAGGAGCUUAUGUCCGCAAGGACGUGAGGGUUCAAAUCCCUCCUUCCGCA